rnacentral:rRNA from 1 species
GACGAACGCUGGCGGCGUGCCUAAUACAUGCAAGUUGAGCGCUGAAGGUUGGUACUUGUACCGACUGGAUGAGCAGCGAACGGGUGAGUAACGCGUGGGGAAUCUGCCUUUGAGCGGGGGACAACAUUUGGAAACGAAUGCUAAUACCGCAUAAAAACUUUAAACACAAGUUUUAAGUUUGAAAGAUGCAAUUGCAUCACUCAAAGAUGAUCCCGCGUUGUAUUAGCUAGUUGGUGAGGUAAAGGCUCACCAAGGCGAUGAUACAUAGCCGACCUGAGAGGGGGAUCGGCCACAUUGGGACUGAGACACGGCCCAAACUCCUACGGGAGGCAGCAGUAGGGAAUCUUCGGCAAUGGACGAAAGGCUGACCGAGCAACGCCGCGUGAGUGAAGAAGGGUGUCGGAUCGUAAAACUCUGUUGGUAGAGAAGAACGUUGGUGAGAGUGGAAAGCUCAUCAAGUGACGGUAACUACCCAGAAAGGGACGGCUAACUACGUG